ensembl:lncRNA
CUGUCGGCUGCUCGCUCCCGCUUCACAGCGAGCGGGUCUCGCGCUAACCAAGAUAGGUUUUUUAACGCUCGCGUUUCGACUUCAGCUAAUGUUAAUCAGUUUGGGAGAAUGCAAACAACGUGAUUCCAACAUCCAGCCAUGCAAGAACACGUGCAUUUUACCUGAGGGAAGACAGAAUCAAUAAGGAAAGUCGUCUUUCUUUAAUGUAGCAGAGUUGGAGUGGACCUCUUGUUGAAGAACUUCUCCAGGCACUAUGAACCAUCUGACUAAUGCUGUCAUGAAACGCCAUGAAAAGGCAACUGCUGGACACCUGGGACAGGCCAUCAAUUCCAAGUUGGCGUCAAUUCCCUGUUAGAGUUUAGAGUCGUCUAAUAGAGAGGGUGAAGGAAGAACAUCCAAACCCUGCCCCUGCUUCCUUCAAGAUUUUUUAUGGAUUUAUAUAAUGGUGUUUUUUCGUAAAGUAAAGACAGUGGCAAAAUUAGCAUGACACUACUGGUUUGGAUGUUCUUCUUUCACCCUCUCUAUUAGACAACUCAUUGUUUUAAACACAGACUUUAUUUCAUUAAUUUAAAAAAAAAAAAACUUCUCUUCAAGAAUUAGUUUUCAGGUUUUAGCAUCAUCCUUUAGUAUUCAUAAUAGCAAUUUCAGUAAAGUUGCUGGUUUGAUUUAUGUUUUAAUUGUGCAGUUUAUGUGCACUCUGUUCUUUUGUCA